CAUUCAUAAGCCAUUGCCAGGUCUUGGUGAUGCAAAAGGAGAAGAAGAUGCAAAAGGUGCUGAAGACAGCCUCCUCUAGGACCAUGAGGUCGGGGCUUACAGGCCUGUUGAGGGGGGAGGUUGAACGGUCAUGCUUUUGAGUGCGUUGGAUCGCUGUAAGUUGGCCACCCGGUUGUCCUGGCAGUGGCCCUUAUUCCCCCCUUGCACCUGAAGACGCAGUGGUGCGUGGGGCAUUUUGGCGGGGUGCACCAUCACGUGGUGGUGAUGGGGCUUACCAGGCUGGAAGGAGUCCGCCGAUUUCUUCUCCUUUGGCAUCAGCACAUGAAGGAUGCUGGAUCUCUGAGGCUCCAUUGGCAGGGGAAGAGAAUUGCAAUGAUAGAGAGUUUUUUGGUUUAGUUUUUUUUUUUUUAAGGUAUAGAAGGCGAGGUACGGAAGGGUGGGGGAGGCAAAGAGAAAAAAGUGGAGUAGAGGUAGAGUGAUAUAGAAGCAAGGCAGCGCCAUCUGCUCUGGAGCUCUGCAGGAGCUCUGCAGGACAAACUAAACUGGAAGGUGCUAUCCUCCCGGGCCUCUUAAAGGCUCUGACUAAUUUAAAUAUGUCCUGCCCUCUAAAGCAUGCUGGGGGAGGAUAACCCAUGUGAGAUGUCCUCACCCAGCAACUGAGAAACCCUUCUACCAGAGUUUGGGAGCUGUGUGUGCACCCAAUUUUCAGUUAUGUGGAAGCAAGGUAAGAGAAAACCUGGGUAUAAGUGAUUGUGUGGAAGCAAGGUAAGAGGGAAACCUGGGUAGCUUUUCCUCUUACCUUGUUUCCACACAAUGAGCCGGGUCUCAUGAUCAGUGAGACCCGGUUUGGAAGGGUGAGAGCAGAGCAGAGCUCAAGAGCAGAGCGGGAGCCCUGGGUGGCUGGAUCAGCCGCCCACAUGAUUGCUGGCUCCAUGACAGCUCUGUGAUGGAGCCGGCGGGGGCUGAAGAGCUCAGGGCCCCCGGAAGCUCCAGUAUGCCCUGCACAAGUGUGCAGGGCAUACUGGGGAGACCCCCAGAGCUGGGAGGUGGCUUUUCGCCUCCCCUCUGGGGGUCUACUCAUGAGUAACUGCGGCACGGAGCCACACCGUGGCUACUGACAAUAUUUAAAACCUGGUUUGUGGAGCGCUCGCUCCUCAAACCUGGCUUUAGAGCAGGGGUAGUUAGGCGGGUUACACGAUGUUGUUCACACAUUGUUCACAUGAUGGAGCGAAAUCGGUCUCGCCUCCGCUAGCCCGAUUUCACUCCAUCGUGUGAAUAGCCUCAAUCACUUCUACCUAGGUUUUCCUCUUACUUUGCUUCCACACAAAUCACUUCUACCCAGGUUUUCCGCUUACCUUCUACACAACCAAGAAUUGGGAGCAUACACAGCUCCCAAAUCCGGGUAGAACACAGAUUUUGAUUGUGUGAAUGACCUCUACUUGUAACAAUUUAGGGUUCCUUGGGUUUGCACAAUUAGAAAGUUUUCAAUAGACAAUAGUAUUUGAAAAUGCCCUGAGUCAGUCCUCUUUAUCCAAAACAGGAUUUUAUUAAUUAACAUGAAUAAAAUAGCUAGGUUUCUACAUGAGAAGAAACCAAUUAAAAUGCCAGAAAUGUUGGGGUUAUCUGAUUUGAUUAUAUAAGCUAUGGGUUUCUGAGGAAAGGGAAUUUCAGGGUGUUUUGAACUGUCUUUUUUUGUUCUCCUUAAUCUAUCUUUUUAAAAUUUGUACCCCAAAGAAAGGAAUUCCUCCCAUAUGGGACAAGUCCUUCCCUGGGUAUACCUCUAUUUUCCCUUUUUAAGCUAAAUUUUAUUUUCAUACACUGCAUGUUCAGCCCUUCCUUGUUUGGGGGUUUUAGCUUAAAGCAUGGCUUGGGGGUUCUUUUCUCCUAUUUUGUUCCUGUUCUCUUCUCCUCAAGAAUUUUUGGAGGAGACGUUUCCCCUAUUUUUAAAUAAGCAGCUUCAUUUUUAGUUGGAACGUUUGCUUUUUAUCCGUUUGGGGAGUACAACCCACAAGCUGUUUUCCUAGAGGAUGAAUAGAAUGCUUCUAACUUCUGGAGACUCCCGAGGUCUCUCCCAUCUGAAGACUGCUGUCUUGGAAGACUCAGCUGAAAGGUAGCCUAAAAAUAUUGCCUGAGAAUCCACAUUUCCUGGGAAACCCAACUACUGUGUGUCCCUGGCACAGACAGACACUGGUGAUAUCACUUUGGAAGGCAAAUUCACACAGUAUGCUUUCAGUAAGAACUUCAGUGUAGGAGACAGCAUGAAACCAGAACAGAUUGUCACGUGAUACAUGUAUCUUGGGGUGUACACAGGCCAGGAAAUAUCAACAAAUAAUGGCUUCUCAAUGCACACAUCGAUUGUUACAUGUGCUGAUAUAGACACCAGUUUCAUUCUAUUUUCUACUCUGCAGUAAAAGCCACUAAAAGUCCCAGGGCACCUUAAAGACAAACUAUUUUAUUAUUUCCCACUCUUCCUUCCAGGAGCCGAGAGCACUGAAAAUGAGUUAUGGUUACCCUUACAACAACCUGUGAAGCUGAUUAAGCUGAAAGGCCCAGAAUCACCCAGUGAAUAUCAUGGGUGAAUAGCGAUUUGAACCUGGGUCUCUUCAGUCCUGUUCCACCAUUCCAACCACUACACCAUACUGGCUGUAUUGAUUAAACUAUCAGCGCUGGAAUGCUCAAACAAGAAAUGCUCAACUAUUCAGAGGUCUCCCACAAUACUUGUUCUGGAUUUGCAAUUAAUCUACUGCAUGCCCUCUAACAGUACUGUACCAGGAAAAUAAUUCUUAAUUUUUUUUUAACCAAUAAAGUUUGAAGCAAGAUAACUUGCACUAUUUAAUAUAGUAUCACAGCCAGAAACAAAAGGCAGACUUGCAUGAUAGCAUGAAGAUUUCCUUGGUCACUCUUCCAUGUUUUCAUACUGAUGAUUGUGUACAGCAGGAACACACAAUAUUGAACUCACAAGAGAAUAUAUAUAUAAAAGGCUUUAUUAAAUUACCUUAUCUUUAAAAAAAUCCUUCUUGGUCCUCGUGAUCUUUUUACUUCAAUCAGCCUCUUUCCACUGUCAAUAAGCUAUACUCACUCUCUCUCUCUCUCUCUCUCUCUCUCUCUCUCUCUCUCUCACACACACACACACACACACACACACACACACACACACAC